rnacentral:misc_RNA from 1 species
GAUGAAGAACGCAGCGAAAUGCGAUAAGUAGUGUGAAUUGCAGACUAGAGUGAAUCAUCGAAUUUUUGAACGCAUAUUGCGCUCUUCGGUACCCCCGGGGAGCAUGCCUGGCUGAGGGUCGGAAAAACAAAUCCACGGAUGGAAAUCCGGUUGGGUCGAUGGGUGUCAAUCCGAUGACCCUUUGAGGGAAUAAUCGGUCACCUGAAAUUAACAGGCUCCGCUGGUUCGCGGACUCGUGCAGUAAAGAUACACAAAUAUGAGUGCGCCUAACGGCCGUCGGAUAUCACACUUCACGAUAUGCGACGAAGCGAGAAGCCAUGUUUUGGCUUGGUUGCAAAGUCCAAAUGCGUUGCCUGACGCACUUUCUUAGCUCGACCUCAGAUCAAGCAAGAACACCCGCUGAACUUAAGCAUAUCAAUAAGCGGAGGA